UAGCUGUUCUUUGCUAUUUUGUGGGU
rnacentral:piRNA from 1 species